AACGGCCAUGCCAUGCUGAAUAUACCGGUUCUCGUUAGAUCACUGAAGUCAAGCAUCAGUACUUGGGAGGGUGACCACCUGGGAACACCGCGUGCCGUU